GAAGGAGAAUGGGGAGAGAGGGUGAGCUCUGAGCAUCCUCUGCUGCCUGUGUGUAUUGUGUACACAUGAGCAAUGUGCAGUUCCUGUCCCCUGGGUUGUGCAUGUGCUGUUUAAAUCUGUGAGAAAGAGGAAGUUUUAAGAAUAAGCAAAGACUUGUAAUCAGGUGAAGACUAGCACUAAUGGAGCCAGAUAACAGCAGAUUUCCUAAAGACUCUCUAUGCUUUAAACUAUUUGUGUCUUUUAUUGAAUAUUUUUACAAUGUGAAUCAAAGCUAUGAAAAACAUUUAUGCAGAAAUGAAAAAAAGAAAAUACAAAAAUUACAACAUUUAUAUAUAACCAUGUGCUUCUGUCAUAAUUACAGGAUACAAUGGAGAUAAUGUGAUGACCCAGACUCCUCUCUCCCUGUCGGUUACCCCUGGACAGCCAGCCUCCAUCUCCUGCAGGUCUAGUCAGAGUCUCCUACACAGUGAUGGCAACAGUUAUUUGAGUUGGUACAUGCAGAGGCCAGGCCAUUCUCCAAGUCUUCUGAUCUAUAUGGCUUCCAACAGGGCCUCUGGGGUCCCAGACAAGUUCAGUGGCAGUGGGUCAGGGACAGAUUUCACACUGAAAAUCAGCAGGGUGGAGGCUGAGGAUGUUGGAGUCUAUUAUUGCCAGGAUGGUUUAUACUUCCUCACACAGUGGUACAGCUCUAAACAAAAACCUCCCUGCUUGGGGUAGCCCAGCUGCCCAUGUGCUGACUGUGUAGAAGUAAAAUAUACACCCUUUGUGAGAGUAACAGGCUGAGG
rnacentral:lncRNA from 1 species